UUACGGCCAUAUUACUUUGAAGCGCCGGUUCUCAUACGAUCUUUGGAGUUAAGCAUUUUCGAGCCUAGUCAAUACCUUGAUGGGUGACCUCUUGGAAAUACCAGAUGUUGUAAG